AACACAGUCACUGGGCAGCUCUGGGAGGAUUUUUUUUCCCCCAUUGCCAAAAUAUGAGGAAUGCUCGCUGGGCACCGGAGUGGCGCUGGCACGUUUCCGAGAAACACUGGGAAAUCUGAGCAGGGGUGUGGAAACUGGCUCGCCGGCCAUGACACCCGGCCCGCGCCCGGCCCGCCACCAGGAUGACAGCGGCCUGGCCGACCCUGCGCCCCACGGUCGCACCGUCAGCCCUGUGGCCUACCUGAGGGAGCCGGGCAGUGCCGGGUCCCGUCGUGCAGCGGCAGCGGUGGUUGAGAGAACGCGUUGGUUGCGGUCACAUUCGGCGUGUCCCCAGCCCGGGGGACGGGGCCCCGGGGAGGCCCCGCAUCGCUGCACUAGCGCCCCGCGCCUCAGGGCACGCGCCCCAAAGCUCGGCCAGCUGGCCCGUCCGAGGGCCUGCGGAGAACAACAGAGAAGCCUUCCCGCCUCAAGUCCGCUCGGCUCUAACUCCCGCCAUCCAAGAUGGCGGCACCAGCACCCGCGAAGAAGACGCUCUCAGGCUAUCCCGGGCGAGCUAGCCCUGCGCUCGACACUCGUCUCCACGACCUGCGGCGCCGCCGGGCUCACUGCCUCUGCGCGAGCUCCUGGGCUCGGCAGUCCGCUUAAAACUCGGCUCGGGGAUCUAUCGCUCGAGCCUGGAAUGUGGCCCCGCCUCCGGGGGCGUGGCCUCGCGGUCCUGCGGCCGCCAUUUCGGGGUUGACUCCGUGGUAGCAGAGUGACUGUUUCUGGUUGGAGGCCAGUAGUAUUGGGCUGCAGCCGCGGUCCGGCCACCCGCGAGGCCCUCAGCGGGCCAGACGCGCCUGGUGACACACGGCACAGGGCUCCAGCUCUGGUGCUUCCUCUCCGAAGUUGACAUCCGUGGAGAAUGGCGGCCUAGGGGUUUUGUGGGAAAGCCCUCAUGCUAUGUGAAACCUCAGGUUCCUCAUUUGUAGAUGGAGUGUUCGCUGUAGUACACCAGGUUGACCAAAAACUAAAAGUAUGGUGUUGCACACCUGUAAUGCCAGCGCUUGGAAAGUGAGGGCAAGAGGGUCGGGAGUUCACGGUCAUAUGAGCUGCAUGAGACCCUGUCUCAAAAAAGAAAAAAAAAAUUAAAAUUGAUGCGAC
ensembl:bidirectional_promoter_lncRNA D830050J10Rik RIKEN cDNA D830050J10 gene